GUGGCUGUAGCUCAGUCGGCAGAGCGCCUGGUUGUGGUCCAGGAGGUCGCGGGUUCAAGCCCCGUCAGCCACCCCA
rnacentral:tRNA from 1 species